rnacentral:lncRNA from 1 species
UUCCCAGCAGGUGUCCAAAUCCCCUGCCGAGACAGAAGAGCCCAGGCAUGAACGGGUGGCGGGUGGGGGACAUGUGGCCCGUGUGGGGAAGGAAGCCAUCACCGUCACCAUCCACGGUGCCAGCAACCUGCCAGCCACGCGUGAGGGCCAGGUGCCAUGGCCAUACGUUGUCGUUGAGACCAGCAGAGGGGAUGAGCAGAAGCUGGAGGCAUGGGCCACCCACGCAUCCCCAGUGCCCACCCACACACUCACCUGGGAGGAGGAGGUGACGGUGGAGAUGGACGCUGAAGAUGCUGGUGGGGCAGCCCUGACUCUCACCGUGGCAGACAAAACCACCAAGGAGGCUUUGGGGACCUUCCAGCUGCCGGUGAGGCACCUCCAGCCCUUCCAUCCUCACCACUGCAGGCUGGUGCUGCCGAGGACACGGGACCUUGGGGGGACAGUCCUGCACGUCACCAUCACCCGCAAAGGGAGCUUCAUCCCCAGCUGCCAUGGCUUCAGCUACGUGGCCCUGGAGGUGAGAGGUGGCCCUGGGGACAGGGGGGGUGGCAGGGAGGGUUUGCAGGGUCCAGGGUGGCUUCUGGGCUCCGGGGAGGAGGUUGUCACACUUGGCCUCCUGCUCUGGUGGCUGUAGAUGUUGCCUCCCCCCUCUCCCACCACCCCUUACCAUUUGCUGACCCCUCACUGUGGGGUCCCCACUGUCCUCAGGUGCUGCUGCAGGGGCUGUCAGCCCCCCUGGCCACCCCCCCAGGGACCCUGGUUGCCGUGGCCAGAGUUGUGACCAAUGUUCAGGAGUACACGUGAGUGAUGGCCCCAUGGUGACACGGGAGAGGGGACAACAUGAGCAUCCCUGU